ACCUGGCUGGCUUAGUUGGUGGAGCAUGAAGCUCUUGAUCUCAGGGUUGUGAGUUCGAACCCCACACUUGGUG
rnacentral:tRNA from 1 species